rnacentral:rRNA from 1 species
AUUUGUCACAAUGGGGGAAACCCUGAUCCAGCCAUCCCGCGUGUAUGAUGAAGGCCUUCGGGUUGUACAUUACUUUUGGCAGAGAAGAAAAGGUACCUCCUAAUACGAGGUACUGCUGACUGUAGCUGCAGAAUAAGCACCGGCUAACUACGUGCCAGCAGCCGCGGUAAUACGUAGGGUGCAAGCGUUAAUCGGAAUUACUGGGCGUAAAGCGUGUGUAGGCGGUUCGGAAAGAAAGAUGUGAAAUCCCAGGGCUCAACCUUGGAACUGCAUUUUUAACUGCCGAGCUAGAGUAUGUCAGAGGGGGGUAGAAUUCCACGUGUAGCAGUGAAAUGCGUAGAUAUGUGGAGGAAUACCGAUGGCGAAGGCAGCCCCCUGGAAUAAUACUGACGCUCAGACACGAAAGCGUGGGGAGCAAAC